AACGAACGCUGGCGGCAGGCUUAACACAUGCAAGUCGAGCGCCCCGCAAUAGGGAGUGGCAGACGGGUGAGUAACACGUGGGAACCUUCCCUAUAGUACGGAAUAGCCCAGGGAAACUUGGAGUAAUACCGUAUACGCCCGAGAGGGGAAAGAUUUAUCGCUAUAGGAUGGGCCCGCGUAGGAUUAGCUAGUUGGUGAGGUAAUGGCUCACCAAGGCAACGAUCCUUAGCUGGUUUGAGAGAAUGACCAGCCACACUGGGACUGAGACACGGCCCAGACUCCUACGGGAGGCAGCAGUGGGGAAUCUUGGACAAUGGGCGCAAGCCUGAUCCAGCCAUGCCGCGUGAGUGAUGAGGGCCUUAGGGUUGUAAAGCUCUUUUGCCGGGGACGAUAAUGACGGUACCCGGAGAAUAAGUCCCGGCUAACUUCGUGCCAGCCGCCGCAGUAAAAC
rnacentral:rRNA from 1 species